GAUGAAGAACGUAGCGAAAUGCGAUAAGUAAUGUGAAUUGCAGAAUUCCGUGAAUCAUCGAAUCUUUGAACGCACAUUGCGCCCUCUGGUAUUCCGGGGGGCAUGCCUGUCCGAGCGUCAUUUGCAACCCUCAAGCCCGGCUUGUGUGAUGGGUGUCGUCCCCUACGGGACGCGCCCCGAAGGCAAUGGCGGCGUCGCGGUUAUCCGAUCAGCCAAAGUGUAUGGGGCUUUGUCACUCACUUUACGGCCCGGACCGGCGCCAGUCCGAAUCAAUCUUUUUUCUAAAGUUGACCUCGGAUCAGGUAGGGAUACCCGCUGAACUUAAGCAUAUCAAUAAGCGGAGGA
rnacentral:misc_RNA from 1 species